AAGGAGGACCCUGACAUCCAUGA
rnacentral:misc_RNA from 1 species